rnacentral:rRNA from 1 species
AGAGUUGAUCAUGGCUCAGACGAACGCUGCGGCAUGGAUUAGGCAUGCAAGUCGAACGGGAGCAGCAAUGCUCCAGUGGCGCAAGGGUGAGGAACACGUGAACAACCUGCCUUCGAGUUGGGGAUAGCUUCUGGAAACGGGAGAUAAUACCGAAUAACAUCACCGGAUCGCAUGAUUUGGUGAUCAAAGCAGCAAUGCGCUUGAAGAGGGGUUCGCGUCCCAUUAGCUAGUUGGUGAGGUAACGGCCCACCAAGGCGAUGAUGGGUAGCUGGUCUGAGAGGACGACCAGCCACAUUGGGACUGAGAUACUGCCCAGACUCCUACGGGAGGCUGCAGUCGAGAAUUUUGGGCAAUGGACGAAAGUCUGACCCCAAGCAAUGCCGCGUGCGGGAUGAAGGUCUUCGGAUUGUAAACCGCUGUCAAGAGGGACGAAAUAUGACGGUACCUCUGGAGGAAGCCACGGCUAACUACGUGCCAGCCGCCGC